rnacentral:ncRNA from 1 species
UAAAUUUUAUUAUGUUUUUUAAAAUAUUAAAAUAUGAUUAUCUAAUAUUGAUUUUAUUUGUAAACAAUAAUUUUUUAUUUUGGUAAUUAAUAGUUUGUAAAAUAAUGGUUCCAGAAUAAUCGGCUAGACUUUUAAAAUUUUUUCUUUAAUUUUUUUUAUUAUUGAUUUAUUGUUUUUAUUAUUUUUUUAUUAUAGGUAGAAUUUAGAUUUUUAAUUUAUUAAGGUUUUUAAUAACAAUUUUGUUUUUUGACUUAGAUUAGUACCUAAUUAGUUAUUUUUUAUUAUACCAGAAUUAAAGUUAUAUUUAAACUGAAAUUAUUUGGCAGAAAAAAUAAUUUAUCUUUGGAGGUUGAGUGGUAAUUGAGAGUCCUCAUUUAUUACUAAUUUUUUAGUUUUUUGUAUGAUCAUUUAUUUUGUUCUUUAGGAAUAAAAUUUUAAUUGUUUUUUUUUGUGUAAAUAGAUAUAUAUAAAUUUUAUAUUUUAGUUAAUUUGACCUACAAUAUUUUUUUUAUGGAUAAGAAUUUUAAUGAUUCUUUGAAAUUGUAAAAGACAGUAAAAAAUUUUUUAUAUAUUUUUGAAGUUUUUUAUUUUUGGUACAAAUCAUCCAUCAAUUGCCUAAAGGGGAGUAAGUUGUAGUAAAGUAGUUUUAAAGGAAUUUGAAACU